UUCUAAUAAAUUAUGUUUUUAUCAGAUAUGACAGAAUCUUUUUUAAAAUCUCUUCAAUAUGCUUUUAUUGCUUUUGAGAGGUUUUGUUACUUUGAGUAAAAUUAAGUGUUCAUUGGAUGAAAGUGUUAAAAAUAAAAGUCAUCUUUCUAGGUGACUUUUAGAUUGUUGCUUCCUUCAGUACCUUAUGAGAAAUCA
rnacentral:rRNA from 1 species